GAAAUGCGAUAAGUAGUGUGAAUUGCAGAAUUCAGUGAAUCAUCGAAUCUUUGAACGCACAUUGCGCCCUUUGGCAUUCCGAAGGGCAUACCUGUUCGAGCGUCAUUUCAACCCUCGAGCCCCCCCGGGGGCCUCGGUGUUGGGGGACGGCACACCAGCCGCCCCCGAAAUGCAGUGGCGACCCCGCCGCAGCCUCCCCUGCGUAGUAGCACACACCUCGCACCGGAGCGCGGAGGCGGUCACGCCGUAAAACGCCCAACUUUCUUAGAGCUGACCUCGGAUCAGGUAGGAAUACCCGCUGAACUUAAGC
rnacentral:misc_RNA from 1 species